UGAGAGGGUGAUCCCCCACACUGGUACUGAGACACGGACCAGACUCCUACGGGAGGCAGCAGUGAGGAAUAUUGGUCAAUGGGCGCAAGCCUGAACCAGCCAUCCCGCGUGAAGGAAGAAGGCGCUAUGCGUUGUAAACUUCUUUUCCAGGGGAAGAAAACCUCCGAUGUAUCGGGGCUUGCCUGUACCCUGGGAAUAAGCAUCGGCUAACUCCGUGCCAGCAGCCGCGGUAAUACGGAGGAUGCGAGCGUUAUCCGGAUUUAUUGGGUUUAAAGGGUGCGUAGGCGGAUUAAUAAGUCAGUGGUGAAAACCUUCAGCUUAACUGGAGAACUGCCAUUGAUACUGUUAGUCUUGAGUACGGUCAAGGUAGGCGGAAUGUGUAAUGUAGCGGUGAAAUGCUUAGAUAUUACACAGAACACCGAUUGCGAAGGCAGCUUACUGGGCCAUUACUGACGCUGAUGCACGAAAGCGUGGGGAGCGAACAGGAUUAGAUACCCUGGUAGUCCACGCCGUAAACGAUGAUCACUCGCUGUUGGCGAUACACAGUCAGCGGCUAAGCAAAAGCAUUAAGUGAUCCACCUGGGGAGUACGGCCGCAAGGCUGAAACUCAAAGGAAUUGACGGGGGCCCGCACAAGCGGAGGAACAUGUGGUUUAAUUCGAUGAUACGCGAGGAACCUUACCUGGGCUUAAAUGUAGAGUGCAUGAGGUAGAAAUACUUCUUUCCUUCGGGACUCUUUGCAAGGUGCUGCAUGGUUGUCGUCAGCUCGUGCCGUGAGGUGUCGGGUUAAGUCCCAUAACGAGCGCAACCCUUAUCGUUAGUUGCCAGCGGGUAAUGCCGGGAACUCUAACGAAACUGCCGGUGUAAACCGUGAGGAAGGUGGGGAUGACGUCAAAUCAGCACGGCCCUUAUGUCCAGGGCUACACACGUGUUACAAUGGCCGGUACAGAGGGCAGCUACCUGGAGACAGGAUGCGAAUCUCGAAAGCCGGUCUCAGUUCGGAUCGGAGUCUGCAACUCGACUCCGUGAAGCUGGAUUCGCUAGUAAUCGCGCAUCAGCCAUGGCGCGGUGAAUACGUUCCCGGGCCUUGUACACACCGCCCGUCAAGCCAUGGAAGUUGGGGGUACCUGAAGUCCGUAACCGUAAGGAGCGGCCUAGGGUAAAACUAGUGACUGGGGCUAAGUCGUAACAAGGUAGCCGUACCGGAAGGUGCGGCUG
rnacentral:rRNA from 1 species